UGGAUGCUUAGCACAACAACACUUCAGUAAAGGUUCUUCUUUCUUCACUGUAGGCUCACAAACAACAAUUCUUGGAAUAUGAUCUUCGGAACCACAAAUUAUUACUUUAGGAAGACUUUCAUCCUCAAUUUCCAAAUCAAAUGUUUCCUUCUCUUCACCAGGACGUGGGCCCUCCAGCAGGCAUAGUUGAGACUCUGUCAGAUGACUAAGUUUUAAAAGGGAUACAGGUACACCUCAAUUCUUUUAGGUGGGUGUAAAUCUCUAAGAAGGAAUAAAUAAAAGCACAAGCUCAGAGAGGAUAAGAAUAGGUUGAAAACUGGCCACAAUCUUUUCAAAGAAAAAUUGCAAGGAUGUGGAAAAAUGCUUACAUCACAUUUCUCCAACCUGCUGGGAACCUGUUUUCCAUUUCAAAUAACCCCCUAGAUUGUAAGCUUUCUAAUAAAAUAAAAACUUUAA